CAUUUUAUCUUCAGGCGACAGAGACGGUAAGUUGGAUUGCUUUUCUCUUUAUAAAAUUACACGUGAUAAAUACUUUUUGUUGAUAAUUUUACUCAAAACAUGAUUGGUGGUGAACACAUUUAGAAAUUACAAACUGCGAGUGUUUUUGUCAGGUUUACAGUGUUAAGUUUGUGAGGUGUGAUACAACGUUAGCCUGCGUGAAAGUUUCUAAUGCGGGUUCGAUUUCCUGAAAUAAGGUGAUUUUACGUGUAAAAUAAUUUUUGGAAUGUGUUUACAAUUUAUGUUAUAUAUAUACUUUUAGCUUCUUUUAUUUUGGCUCGUUGACAGAUCCUCUGGUCUCUAUUUGCCCCGAGGCCUGGUUUUACUACGAGUCUGAGUAGAAAACCGCCCAAAUGUGGCUGCUUCAGAGGAGAGAAUUCAUCAAAUGAAUUGGCCCAGACUUCUGCAGUGUCAAGUGAAGGAAGCUCCUCUCAUAAGAUUGCAGACUGGGAGUCUGAUGACACUGAGCGAGAGUGAUGGAGGGAGCAGAAUGAUGAAGAUGAAGCCAGAAUUUCAAGUUCCUGGCUUUUCUCAAGACCUUCAAGGACCCGAUUGACCUCGGAAUCAGCUGUAAAGGAGGAUGAAACCGAUGUUUAAGAACGGGACAGAGAUAUUGCAUCAAUUUGUCUCCUUCAUUUGGUUCCACCAUCACCACAAGGCUGCAAGGGACCUGGAUAAAUGUCCUCCUAUCAAUCUGAAAAACAUCUUCAAAAAGGCACUAACCAGAAGAACACCUUGAUUGCAUAGAAGAGACCACACAGCCAUACCUGCUCGCUGAUGGGACACGAGGAACAGAGUUCAUGGAUGCUACACAACUGUCGACAAGUAUCUUGCUGCAGUCUUGUUCAAAUCUACCUGUCAUAUUUGUUAAUGUCUAGGUAAAUUUGAUGAUUUUGUGUUUUAUUAACUAUUUUAUGUUUCCGUGCAACACUUAAUGAAUGUGACUGACUAAUUAACCUCUACACAUCUGGUAUAUGCUUUAAAGUUGCC